AUGAAAACAUUAAUUGUCGUUUGGUUCCGAUCCGCUCCCUUCCGACGCUUGUAUCGAUCCGUGACGCAGCGACUAUUUGUUUUUAAGCUGCUAGCAAAAAUGGCAGGCAAUGAUGUAAACAAGUGCGCCGAAAUGUUGUUGAGUGAUGAUACUAUGCGGGUGGAUGACGAAGUAUGCAGGAGAUAUGCAUCCCAAGUCACUGAUCAUGAAGAUUCAUCUGAUGACGCGGACGACGAUGGACCGUCUGAUGACACUAUUGGUUUAGAUCGACGGGUUAUGCAGUUUCUUGAUGAUGCUGUCUGGUCGGGUUUAAAUUCAAAUGAUGAAAAUGGGGAUAAUAAUGAAAAUGAAUACCAGAGAAGUUCAGCGAAUGUACCUCAACCCCAAGAUGAUCCUGAUCUGCUUAAAAUCAGAGCGAUAAAGAUUCGUGGCUGCAGCUGUGAGAACAAGUGCGUCUCCAUCUUAAGCGGCAACUUUGUAACCACACAUCCUAAACAUGAGACAAAUUCCAAAGGUAGAAAAAGACAUGUACAUCAUGGGAUAGCUUGUAGACAGUUACAAAGAAACGACAAAAGGGGGAAAGAAAAGAAUGCAUUCCAAACAGACUUUCAUGUUUACUGGGGGAAAGGCUUGCAGAAAUACGUUCCUGCAUGUGUAUGA
rnacentral:sRNA from 1 species